AAAAUCUGAAAAUGAAAUUAAGAAAACAAUCCCAUUUACCAUUACAACAAAUGAAUAAAAUAUCUAGGAAUAAAACUACCUAAGGAGCCAAAAGACCUGUAUGCAGAAAAUUAUAAGACACUGAUGAAAAAAAUUAAAGAUGACACAAAUAGAUGCAGAGAUAUACCAUGUUCUUGGAUUGGAAGAAUCAACAUUGUGAAAAGGACUCUACUAACCAAA